rnacentral:lncRNA from 1 species
UUUCAAGUUAAAUUGUUGGAACUACGUUUGACCUGAUUCCUGCUUCAACGGGAUACGUAGGCGCCAUAAAGGCUCGGUCAUCUUCCCCGUAAGUUUUCCAAAUUUUAAGAACAGAAACUGGGACAAAAUUUUGUGUAAGUCUCCAAAAAUUUUUAAUGGAGAUAGUUGUUACAAUAUUAAAUACCGGAGGUUUGUCGAAGCUGAAACAUGGGAAAAUUUUUUAAGGAAUGCCCUCAAAAUUUUCACCAAGAUUGUACGCAGACUCCAGUAUUUACGAGGCUUCACUCCGAGUUGGUUUGUUUAUUUUGCAUUAAUUUUUUGUACAUGAUGUCACAUUCAUUGUAUAUCAUUGAUUUUUAUUAUACUCCAUUGAAAAAAUUAGUUUAAUUGACAUUUGUUAAGUUUGGGUAGUCCGUCCUUCAACACGACUCAUUAUUUCAUUAUUUUAUUUUUGUUACUUUUGUUAAAUUUAGGUGGUCCUCCCUUCAAUAUGACUCACUGAUUAAUUCGUCCUUGUAAAAUUUUCUUUAAAUAGUAAAUAAAAAUAUUUUGUUCAAUUCGGGUUGCCCGCCUUUCAAUGUGGCUCAUAGAUUUAUAUUCUCAUUGUUUUUUCUUUUCAAAAAGUAAUUUGUUGUUUAUAAAUUUUAUGUCAUAUUUGGAAGAACUACGCAAACCUGAUUCUCAUCAAUGAGAUACGUAGGCAGCCCUUAUUGGGUUCAGUAUUCAUUCUUCAAAAUAUUUUUUAUUUAUUAUUCUUUGAAUGUUUAUAUUUUUGAAAUUAUUUUUUCACUGGGUUGGUGCCAACACAGUUCAAGUGUGAAUGUGAAAAACAAUUUGUAUAAUAAUGAAGAUUGACUUCUUGUUAAACCAUGGAUUCUUUUGGUACCUCUCAUUCAUACUUUGUUACACUUGCAAAUGUUGUCUUGAAUAAAUUCAAGAAUAGAACAAAAUCAGAUUCAUUGUUUCACGUGCAUUGUGUGGUGAGUUUUGAAUCAAAUUCAAUUAUUUUGCAUUGUUGAUCUAGAACUUGGCCUAAAUGUUAUUGAGGCAAAAUUCUGAGUAAUAUUUGAUUUUAAAAAUGAUUGCAGGCCUUCUUUGAUCCGUUUGAGAAAUUCAAAACCUACCAAAUGAUGUUAAUCCUUAGAUGUCCCCAGUUUGUGCCUAUAGCCUAUUGUUUGGACAACAACAUCUUAACCUAUACCUUUUCUGAGUGCUUUUACGCACUAUCUCUCUUUUGACCAGACUUUCUUGAGCACACUGAAGACAUGCAAAUCAUAAGAGAAGAUACAAAGUUCAAAUUUGUCAAAGACAAAAGUUAUCAAAAUUCCUGAAUUUCAAGAAAACAAAAAUGAAUUCAGAAGAAAAAAAAAGGGUUCAAAAUUCCCACCAAUUUAAGAAAGCAAAAUUUCAAAAACACUUCAAACAAAAAAGGAGAAAAUUCAAAAAGAGGGAAAACUCAGACAAACAAAGUUUCAAAGAAGUCAAAAGUGCAAAAGGAAGGGACAACAAACAUAAUCAAAUGCUAAAAGCAUAAUAAAUGUUGAAAGCAUCUAUUUAGUGCAAUGCUCAAGAAGGAAUAAGUCACUUUAAUCACAAAUGACUAUCCUAUCCGUUCCUAAGCCAACAUUACAAGCUAUUAACAAGCCCUACAUGAUUCCAAUUCAAAUGUUCCACAUUAGCGGAGAUUUACAUGAAGGUCAAGUCUAUGGUAUCACAAUUGCAUGCAUUGAAAUUUUUUUCGAGUGUGAGUGUGUUUUUCCAGAUGUUUUCAAAUCAAAACACUUUAAAUGUGCGCAAAUUGAAAGUUUCUUUCUUGUGAGGGCACUUGAAACAUGAUGUUUGGUCUAGUUCUAAGCUUUUAUUUAUAGCAAGAUGGACAAAUCUUGUUGUUGAUUAAGUACAUUUGAGGUACCACUUGAAUCCAUAGGAAUUACCUCGAUCUCAAUUUCAGUUGAAAGUUAAAAAUUGUGAGAAGUUUUUGUACAAUAGUAUUGUUGGCGCUAACCAAGUUAAAAUAUGUUUCAUUGAUCAUAAAAUAAAAGUGGGUUGAAACCCACUUUACAAUAUUUGUCCAUACCCACUUUGUGAACCGUUUCAUUGUUGAUAUUUGUCCAAACAACUUUGUGGAUCGUUUCAAAGUUUAAAUUGCAUUUUGGUAGUUAUACCCUUCAAAAUGACAUCUUUUAUUUUUCGGUAGUCAUACCCUUCAAAAUGACAUCUUUUAAAUUUGAGUUGUCAUACCUUUCAAAAUGACAUCAUUUUAUUUUUAUGCCCCAUAUUUGUCCAUACCAACUUUGUGGACCGUUUCAUUGUUGAUAUUUAUCCAUACCAACUUUGUGGACUAUAUCAUUGUUGAUAUUUUCCAAACAACUUUGUGGACCGUUUCAAAGUUUAAAUUGCAUUUUUGGUAGUCAUACCCUUCAAAAUGACAUCUUUUUUAUUUUAGGCCGUCAUACCUUCCAAACUGACAUCAUAUUAUAUUUAUGCUUUAUAUUCGUCCAAAUAACUUUGUUGACCAUUUCAAGGUUUAAAUUGCGUUUUUUCGGUAGUUAUACCCUUCAAAAUGACAUCUUCUAAAUUUGGGUCGUCAUACAUUUCAAACUGACAUCAUUUUAAUUUUUGCCCAAUAUUUGUCCAAACAACUUUGUGGACCGUUUUAAAGUUUGAAUUGCAUUUUUGGUAGUCAUACCCUUCAAAAUGACGUUUCUUUAAAUUAUUUUUCGGUAGUCAUACCCUUCAAAAUGACAUCUUUUAAAUUUGGGUCGUCAUACCUUUCAAACUGACAUCAUUUUAAUUUUUCCCAAUAUUUGUCCAAACAACUUUGUGGACCGUUUCAAAGUUUAAAUUGCAUUUUUGGUAGUCAUGCCCUGCAAAUGACAUGUUCAAGUUAGGUCGUCCGUCUUUCAAAGAGACAAGAUUGGGUUGUCAUCUCCCUUCAAAUGGCAUGUUCAAGUUGGGUCGGCCGUCUUUCAAAGAGAUAAGAUUGGGCUGUCAUCUCGCUCGAAAUGACAUAUUAAGUUCAAGUUGGAUCGUCCUCCUUUCAAAGAGACAAGAUUGGGUUGUCAUCUCCCUUCAAAUGACAUGUUUAGUUCAAGUCGGGUCGUCCGUCUUUCAAAGAGACAGGAUUGGGUUGUCAUCUCCCUUCAAAUGACAUGUUCAAGUUGGGUCGUCCGCCUUUCAAAGAGACAAGAUUUGGUUGUCAUCUUUCUUCAAAUGACACGUUAAGUUCAAUAUUGGGUUGUCAUCUCCCUUCAAAUGACACAUUAAGUUCAAGAUUGGGUUGUCAUCUCCCUUCAAAUGGCAUGUUCAAGUUGGGUCGUCCGCCUUUCAAAGAGACAAUAUUGGGUUGUCAUCUCCCUCCAAAUGACAUAUUAAGUUUAAGUUGGGUCGUCCGCCUUUCAAAGAGACAGGAUUGGGUCGUCAUCUCCCUUCAAAUGACAUAUUAAGUUCAAGUCGGGUCGUCAGCCUUUCAAAGAGACAUGAUUGGGUAGUCAUCUCCCUUCAAAUGGCAUAUUAAGUUCAAGUUGGGGCGUCCUCUUUUCAAAGAGACACGAUGGAUUGUCAUCUCCCUUCAAAUGACAUAUUAAGUUCAAGUUGGGUUGUCCGCCUUUCAACGAUACAAGUUGGGUUGUCACCUCAUUUAAAGUGAUAUGUUAUGCUCAAAUUGGGUCGUCCUCCUUUCAAAGAGACGCGUUGGGUUGUCACUUCAUUCAAAGUAACAUGUUAUUCACAUCAUCUAUCUUUCAAAAAGGUAGACCACCUUCAUUGUGCAAUUUUGAAAGUAACAUCAAAGGUAUGUGAAUUUCUCAGUUUGCAAUCAAUCUCCGUCUUUUGUUUGUUAUUUUCAUCCCAAUCGAUCAAUGUGGAGUCUUGCUCAAAAGUUCUACUAACGUCUCAAUUGUUUUGUUCAAUGUUUAUCAAACCAAAUUUGGUUCGUCAACUUUGUUUGACCAGGAUCUCUUUCAUCGAUCCUAAUCAAACAAAGGGGCAAGUUCUUGACACCAAAUUUUGGUCCUAUGGUUUUAAAAUUAAUACAUUUUUGAGUCAAAUACAAAAAAAAAUAUGCCUUUCCCACAUCUUUUCUCAAACAAUUUUAAAUUUUGCAACAGUCCCACAUCGGUAUUUCAUCCUUUUUGAGGAUUUUUGGGUUUCUAUAUAAAUCCACUUCAUUCACUAUUUUUAGAGGAGGAUUUGGAGGUGAAAACAAAAGAAUACUCAUCAAAAUUUUGAGAAAUUCUUGGUUCCCAUAAUUCAAAAAUUUUAAAUUGUUUUUGUGUUUUUUUGAGUUGAGGAGGUGGAGUCGUCUCCUUCAAACUCAUAGUUCCGGUUCGCCGCCCAGAACCAGGUAAAUUUUUUUUCUUAGCCUUGUUUUAUUUAAUUCCCAGCUCUUUUAUGUUUUCUGUUUAUUAUAUGUAGCUUGUUUUUUUUUUAGUUUAAUGUAGUUCUAAAAGUCAAUUAAUAUUUGUGUUUAUUGUAGUUUUAAUAUUAGCAUUAUUUUACGGUUUGAUGUUUAUUUAUUUAUUAUUAUUAUUAUUUUAAAAUUGUUAGUCAACUAUUUGCUAUCUUAACUUUUCAGGGUUUUGUUAUUAUUUUAUUUUAAUGUUAUUUUUAAUUUUUAUAUAUUACGUUAUUGUUAUUUCCAUUUCUAAUUAUGUUGUUUUAUUUUGGUUGUUGUUUUUCAUAUUCUCUUGGGAUAAGUUUGUUAUGUUUUGUUGAUGUUCAGAUUAUAUUAAAUAUUUUUGUUAAGUGCCCAAUCAAAAAACUCUCCGUCAGUUUUGGAGGCCUCCCCAAUAUUAAAAGACAGAAAUUUUUAAUUUAAGUUCAAAUAACUUGUUUGUUUGUAACGACCUGUUUAGUCGUUUUGAGCAGCAAAUUUUAUUUCUGGAAAAACAGGCUAAGGCGACGGACCCCACGACGGACCGCCAUGGGUACGACGGACCAUCGCAGGGUCUGGUUUCAAAACACUUAGAAAAUCUGAAAUUGGGUACUGGAAAUCGACUCUCUGAACUUUGUAACGUAAUGGCAGGACGGACCGUCAUAGGUGUGACGGACCAUCACAGACUCUUCAGAGAAAUUGAGUCUCUGAACUCUGUGACGGAGCAGCAGGACGGACCGUCGCUGGCGCAACGGUCCGUCACAGGCUGCAUAAAUCCCAGUCUGAGUCGGAAUUCCUCAAUUGUUUUAAGGGACGUUUUGGACCAUUCCUACUUUAAUUAUAAAGCUAGAGGGUUAAGGUUAAUAAGUCUAAUUAUUUGGGGGUUAAAAGAGGUAACCUUAAGUUAAUUGGUGGGUUAUUAUUGCCAUCUUUUAUUCUUAAUUAUAUGCUAAUUAGGGUAAAAGAAAGAGGGUUUGAAUAAGAAAAAGAAAAGAACAGAAAGAGAGAGAAGGAGAAUCGAUAGAGAGAGACGAACGAAGAGGAAAAAACAAAAGCUUGGGAAAUUUGCUUGCUUGAUCACGAAUCUUCGGUGGAGGUAGGUUAUGGUUUUAAUACUAUUCGUAGUAAACUCUUAAUAGCGAAUGAUAUGUAUGGGUAGUAUUGUAAACCCUUCUAUAUGCUUAAUUGUAUGCUUGCAUGAAUGUGAUUAUGUAAUUGUGAUAAAAUAAGCAUGAUGAAGCUAUUGAAUCCUAAAUCUUGACAAAGAAACCCUAAUCUAUUUUGUUAAUGAUGAUGCUUUGGUAUAAAGGAAGGCUUGAUGAACGAAAGUAGUGAGAUUAGGGGAUCGGGUGCCACGUUCCGGUACCAGGAUAGUAUAUGAGGAUCGGAGUGUCACGUUCCGACACCAGGAUAGUAUAUGGAUCGGGUGCCACGUUCCGGUACAAGGAUAGUAUAUGAGGAUCGGAGUGUCACGUUCCGACACCAGGAUAGUAUAUGGAUCGGGUGCCGCGUUCCGGUACCAGUAUAGUAUAUGAGGAUCAGAGUGUCACGUUCCGACACCAGGAUAGUAUAUGGAUCGGGUGCCACGUUCCAGUACCAGGAUAGUAUAUGAGGAUCGGAGUGUCACGUUCCGACACCAGGAUAGUAUAUAGAUCGGGUGCCACGUUCCGGUACCAGGAUAGAAUGAGGAUCGGAGUGUCACGUUCCGACAUUAGGAUAGUAUAUAAGGAGCGGGGUGUCACGUACCGACACAAGAGGAAUAAAGAUAAUGAAUCUUGAAAGAUGUUAAUAUACUCAAUCUAAUGAACCUAAUUCCCAAAUGAGUAUGAUGAGGAGGCGUGAGUCCUCAUUGAUGAGCUUGGUGUUAUAACCAAGGGUUAUGGUAAUAGUAAAUGCUGCAUGCUAAGGAUAUUAGUUGAUUUUAUGAUAUUGCUUAAUAUAUAUUGUUUUCUAUUUUGAGUUGGCCGAUGAUACCUACUCAGUACUUGUGUUUGUACUGACCCCCUACUUUUAUGUUUUCUUCUUGUUUAUUUGUGGAGUGCAGCAAACGUACCGUCAUCUUCAACUCAACCGCAAUUCUAGCCAGUCUUCGUCACAUCGGAUCUUCAGGGUGAGCUAAUGCUUCUAGCUUGGACUGGAUCUUCUUCCUCAUGUCUUGAUGCCUUGAAGUUCCGGCAUGGACUAGCUUUUACUUGUUUUAGCUUUUAGAAUACUCUUAGUUUAGAAAUUGAUCAUAGAUGUUCUUGUGAUGAUGACUUCCAGAUUUUGGGGAAUAAUAGAUGUUGAAUUUUAGAAGUUAAUGAAUUGGUUUUAUUUAAUGAGUUUGAGUCUUCCGCAUUAUUUACUGUUGAUAUUAUAUUGAAAUGUUAGAGUUUAGAUUGUUUGGUUCGCUCACAUAGGAGGGUAAGUGUGGGUGCCAGUCACGGUCCGGAUUUGGGUCGUGACAAACUUGGUAUCAAAGCAUUAGGUUCGUUGGUCUCAUCACACAAGAACAAGUCUAGUAGAGUCUUAAGGAACGGUAGGGGGACGCCUUUACUUUUCUUUGAGAGGCUAUAAGACUUUAGGAAAAUUCCUUUCUUUCUUUCUUUCUUUCUUUCGUGCUACUACUUGAAUCCAUUUGGUAUCUAGGUGAUACAAAUUGGUAUCUGACCAUCUUCACUCUCUUUCGCAGAUGGUUAGAACUAGAGCAACGACUACACAAACACCAACACCAGUACCGGCGGGACAGGGUGCGUCUGAGCCAGCCACUGGGCUGUAGCUCGAGGAAGAGCAGCGGCAAGUGGCCGUGGUAGAUGUCGUGUGAGGACGUCCUCUAGGGGAAAAGGUCGAGCACUUAGCCCAUCUGAUACUAGGGCAGUGACUCCUCCACCGACUGAGGAAGUAAUAAGAGAAGGGGAGGAUGGGGAAAAUGAACAAGUGCAGAAUGAGGGAUUGCCAUCCCAGCCUACCCCAGAGAUGAUAAAUCAGGUGCUCGCUUAUCUUAGUGGGUUGUCUGAUCAGGGUCAGGCACCUCCAGUGUUUUCUGCACCAACACCUCCGGUUUCAGAGGUACAACAUGCAGCCACUAUGGCUCCUCGUAUGGAUGCCUCAUUGGACAUAGGCACGUUUCCACGUCUUACUACUGGGCCUAUAAUGACAAAUGAUCAGCAUGAACUUUUCAGUAAGUUCUUGAAAUUGAAACCUCCAGUCUUCAAGGGUGCUGAAUCUGAGGAUGCUUACGAUUUUCUGGUUGACUGUCAUGAGCUACUACACAAGAUGGGUAUAGUAGAACGGUUUGGUGUUGAGUUCGUGACUUAUCAGUUCCAAGGAAACGCCAAAAUGUGGUGGCGGUCACAUGUUGAGUGUCAACCAACAGAGGCGCCACCUAUGACUUGGGCAUCAUUCUCUAGCUUGUUUAUGGAGAAGUAUAUUCCCCGGACUUUCAGGGAUAGGAAGAGAGACGAGUUCUUGAGCCUAGAGCAAGGUAGGAUGUUGGUUACUGCAUAUGAGGCUAAGUUUCGUGCAUUAUCCCGGUAUGCCACCUAACUGUGUUUCAGUCCACAAGAGCGGAUUCGCCGUUUUGUGAAAGGGUUGAGAUCGGAGUUGCGGAUUUCAGCCUUACAGGUAGCGGCUACAGCGAAAUCUUUCCAAGAAGUGGUAGACUUUGUGGUAGAGGUGGAAGGAGUGAAGCCAUAUGACUUCACCAUGGAAACUACAUCAAAAAGGUUUCGAAAGGGAGGUGAGUUUAAUGGUUCUUACUCUAGAGGACAGGGUUCAGGAGGUUACUCAGUCCGACCAAUUCAGUCUUCACUACAGACUGUAGUUGGGGGUCCACCUCAGACCGGUCAACACUUCUUUGAGAGACCUAUGCUUGAACCCAGAGAGUGUUAUGGAUGUGGGGAGAUCGAACACAUUAAGAGGUAUUGUCCAAAACAGAGUUACUGACCUCCAAAUGUUAGAGGUAGAGGUGGUUAUGGAAGAGGUCGUCAUUCUGGAGGACGCGGUGGUCGAAGUAAUGGUGGUCACCAAAACGGUCGGGGUGAUGGGCAAACAGGAGCCACUACAUCACAACAUGGUAAGGGCAACGGACAAACAAAUGAAAGGGCCCAUUGUAACGCUUUCCCUGGGCGGUCAGAAACGGAGACAUCAGAUGCUGUCAUCACAGGUAAUCUUACGGUUUGUGAUUUCAUGGCUUCUGUAUUGUUUGAUCCUGGAUCCACAUUUUCUUAUGUAUCUUCUUCAUUUGCUAAUGGUCUAAAUUUACCUUGUGAAUUACUUGACAUACCUAUUCGUGUUUCUACUCCGGUGGGUGAGUCUGUGAUAGUUGAAAAAGUAUAUAGGUCUUGUUUGGUGAAUUUUGUGGGGAGCAACACUUAUGUAGAUUUGGUUAUCUUAGAAAUGGUUGACUUUGAUGUAAUUCUGGGUAUGACUUGGCUUUUUCCAAAUUUUGCGAUCUUGGAUUGUAAUGCUAAAACGGUGACGUUAGCCAAGCCUGGGACAGAUCCGUUAGUUUGGGAGGGUGACUACACUUCCAAUUCGGUGCGUAUCAUCUCCUUUCUUCGUGCUAAGAAAAUGGUUAGUAAAGGGUGUUUAGCUUUCUUGGCACAUCUCAAGGAUGACACAACCCAAGUACCUUCGAUUGAGUCGGUUUCGGUGGUCCGUGAGUUUCUGGAUGUGUUCCCUGCAAAUCUUCCUGGUAUGCCACCAGAUAGGGAUAUUGACUUCUGUAUUGAUCUUGAACCGGGUACUCGCCCCAUUUCUAUACCCCCUUAUAGAAUGGCCCCCGCGGAGUUAAGAGAGUUAAAAGCCCAACUUCAAGAGUUGUUGAGAAAAGGCUUCAUUAGACCAAGUGCAUCUCCUUGGGGUGCUCCGGUGUUGUUUGUGAAGAAAAAGGAUGGGAGUUUUCGGAUGCGCAUAGACUACCGGCAGUUGAACAAGGUAACCAUAAAGAACAAGUAUCCUCUUCCUCGCAUUGAUGACUUGUUCGAUCAGUUACAAGGUGCUUGUGUCUUCUCUAAGAUUGACUUGAGAUCCGGUUAUCAUCAAUUGAAAAUACGGGCAACGGAUGUGCCAAAGACUGCUUUUAGAACCAGGUAUGGGCAUUACGAAUUUGUAGUGAUGUCUUUUGGUCUUACGAAUGCCCCUGCUGCUUUCAUGAGCUUGAUGAACGGGAUUUUAAGCCAUAUCUGGAUCUCUUUGUGAUCAUAUUCAUUGAUGAUAUAUUGGUAUACUCAAAGAGCAAGAAGGAACAUGAAGAGCAUUUGAGAAGGGUAUUGGAAAUGUUGAGGGAGAAAAAGCUUUAUGCCAAAUUCUCCAAGUGUGAGUUUUGGCUAGAUGCAGUGUCCUUCUUGGGGCAUGUGAUUUCUAAGGAUGUGGUGAUGGUUGAUCCUUUUAAGAUUGAGACAGUGAAGAAUUGGGUAAGACCUACUAAUGUGUCAGAAAUAAGGAGCUUUGUUGGGUUAGCUAGCUACUACCGCCGAUUUGUCAAGGGAUUCUCUUCUAUUGCUUCGCAACUGACGAACUUGACUAAGCAAAAUGUCCCAUUCGUAUGGUCGGAUGAGUGUGUGAGGAAAGCUUUCGCUCAAGACUCUGUUGACUACUGCACCAAUUCUCACCUUGCCAGUGGAAGGUAAGAAUUUUUGUCUAUUAUGAUGCAUCCUAUUCGGGUUUGGGUGCAGUGCUAAUGCAAGAGAAGAAUGUGAUUGCUUAUGCUUCAAGACAAUUAAAAGUGCAUGAACGUAACUAUCCAACUUAUGAUUUGGAAUUGGACGCGGUAGUGUUUGCAUUAAAGCAAUGGAGACACUAUUUAUAUGGGGUUAAGUGUGAGGUCUAUACGGAUCAUCGUAGCCUACAGUAUGUCUUUACUCAGAAAGAUUUGAACUUGAGACAGAGGAGAUGGAUGGAACUACUGAAGGACUACGACAUCACUAUUUUGUAUCAUCCGAGGAAGGCGAAUGUUGUAGCGGAUGCUUUAAGUAGAAAGGCAGGAAGCAUGGGAAGUCUAGCUCACUUGCAAGCUUCUAGACGCCCAUUGGCUAGAGAAGUUCAGAUUCUGGCUAACAACCUUAUGAGAUUAGAAGUAAAUGAGAAGGGAGGAUUUUUAGCUUGUGUGGAGGCAAGAUCUUCCUUCUUGACAAGAUUAAGGGAAAGCAGUUUAAUGAUGAAAAAUUGAUCCGGAUUCGAGAUAAAGUGUUGCAAGGAGAGGCUAAAGAAGCGACGAUCGAUGAGGAAGGCGUUUUGAGGAUUAAGGGAAGGGUGUGUGUACCCCGUGUCGAUGAUUUGAUCAACACCAUUCUUACAGAGGCUCAUAGUUCCGGGUAUUCUAUACAUCCUGGUGCAACCAAGAUGUACCAUGACCUAAAGCAACACUUUUGGUGGAGUAGGAUGAAGCGUGAUAUUGUGGAUUUUAUUGCCAAAUGUCCAAACUGUCAACAAGUAAAGUAUGAACACCAAAGGCCCGAAGGAACACUUCAGAGAAUGCCCAUUCCGGAAUGGAAAUGGGAGAGAAUCUCAAUGGACUUCGUGGUUGGUCUUCCAAAGACAAUGGGUAAGUAUGACUCCAUUUGGGUGAUUGUUGAUAGGUUAACUAAGUCUGCUCAUUUUAUUCCGGUUAAGGUGACUUACAAUGCCGAGAAGUUAGCCAAGAUCUAUAUCUCAGAAAUCGUUCGAUUGCAUGGGGUUUCACUAUCCAUCAUAUCAGAUAGAGGUACGCAGUUUACUUCUAAGUUUUGGAAAACCUUGCAUGCGGAAUUGGGUACUAGGUUGGACCUUAGUACUGCGUUCCAUCCUCAGACCGAUGGUCAGUCUGAGCGAACGAUUCAAGUGUUGGAGGAUAUGCUUCGUGCGUGUGUGAUAGAAUUUGGUGGCCAUUGGGAUAACUUCUUACCCUUAGCGGAGUUUUCAUGCAAUAAUAGCUAUCACUCAAGCAUUGAUAUGGCUCCAUUUGAAGCAUUGUAUGGUAGGAGAUGUAGGUCCCCCAUUGGUUGGUUUGAUGCAUUCGAGGUUAGACCUUGGGGUACUGAUCUUUUGAGAGAUUCGAUAGAGAAAGUGAAAUCUAUUCAAGAAAAGCUUCUAGCGGCGCAAAGUAGGCAAAAAGAAUAUGCAGAUCGAAAGGUUAGAGACUUAGAGUUCAUGGAGAGUGAACAAGUCUUGUUGAAAGUUUCGCCAAUGAAAGGGGUGAUGCGGUUUGGUAAAAGAGGCAAGCUAAGCCCAAGGUACAUUGGUCCCUUUGAAGUACUUAAGCGAGUAGGGGAGGUGGCUUAUGAGUUAGCCUUGCCUCCAGGGCUGUCCGGAGUACAUCCGGUAUUCCAUGUGUCGAUGUUGAAAAGAUACCACGGGGAUGAAAACUACAUCAUCCGUUGGGAUUCCGUUUUGCUUGAUGAAAAUUUGUCUUAUGAGGAGGAACCUAUUGCCAUUCUAGAUAGAGAAAUUCGCAAGUUGAGAUCAAGGGAGAUUGCAUCCAUCAAAGUUCAAUGGAAGAAUCGACCAGUUGAAGAAGCCACUUGGGAGAAAGAGGCAGAUAUGCGAGAAAGAUACCCACAUCUGUUUACAGAUUCAGGUACUCCUUUUCGCCCUUGUUUUCCUUCUUGUGAUCGUUCGGGGACGAAUCAUGGGUAAAUUGGUAUCUAUUGUAACGACCUGUUUAGUCGUUUUGAGCAGCAGAUUUUAUUUCUGGAAAAACAGGCUGAGGCAACGGACCCCACGACGGACCGCCAUGGGCACGACGGACCGGUGCAGGGUCUCGUUUCAAAACACUUAGAAAAUCUGAAAUUAGGUACUGAAAAUCGACUCUCUGAAAUUCUUAAUGGAAUGGCAUGACGGACCGUCACAGACUCUUCAGAGAAAUUGAGUCUCUAAACUCUGUGACGGAGCAGCAGGACGGACCGUCGCAGGCGCGACGGGCCGUCAUAGGCUGCGUAAAUCCCAGUCUGAGUCGGAAUUCCUCAAUUGUUUUAAGGGACGUUUUGGACCAUUCCUACUUUAAUUAUAAAGCUAGAGGGUUAAGGUUAAUAAGUCUAAUUACUUGGGGGUUAAAAGAGGUAACCUUAAGUUAAUUAGUGGGUUAUUAUUGUCAUCUUUUAUUCUUAAUUAUAUGCUAAUUAGGGUAAAAGAAAGAGGGUUUGAAUAAGAAAAAGAAAAGAACAGAAAGAAAGAGAAGGAGAAUCGAUAGAGAGAGACGAACGAAGAGGAAAAAACAAAAGCUUGGGAAAUUUGCUUGCUUGAUCACGAAUCUUCGGUGGAGGUAGGUUAUGAUUUUUAUACUAUUCGUAGUAAACUCUUAAUAGCGAAUGAUAUGUAUGGGUAGUAUUGUAAACCCUUCUAUAUGCUUAAUUGUAUGCUUGCAUGAAUGUGAUUAUGUAAUUGUGAUAAAAUAAGCAUGAUGAAGCUAUUGAAUCCUAAAUCUUGAAAAAGAAACCCUAAUCUACUUUGUUAAUGAUGAUGCCUUGGUAUAAAGGAAGGCUUGAUGAACGAAAGUAGUGAGAUUAGGGGAUCGGGUGCCACGUUCCGGUACCAGGAUAGUAUAUGAGGAUCGGAGUGUCACGUUCCGACACCAGGAUAGUAUAUGGAUCGGGUGCCACGUUCCGGUACCAGGAUAGUAUAUGAGGAUCGGAGUGUCACGUUCCGACACCAGGAUAGUAUAUGGAUCGGGUGCCACGUUCCGGUACCAGUAUAGUAUAUGAGGAUCAGAGUGUCACGUUCCGACACCAGGAUAGUAUAUGGAUCGGGUGCUACGUUCCGGUACCAGGAUAGUAUAUGAGGAUCGGAGUGUCACGUUCCGACACCAGGAUAGUAUAUGGAUCGGGUGCCACGUUCCGGUACCAGGAUAGAAUGAGGAUCGGAGUGUCACGUUCCGACACCAGGAUAGUAUAUAAGGAGCAGGGUGUCACGUACCGACACAAGAGGAAUAAAGAUAAUGAAUCUUGAAAGAUGUUAAUAUACUCAAUCUAAUGAACCUAAUUCCCAAAUGAGUAUGAUGAAGAGGCGUGAGUCCUCAUUGAUGAGCUUGGUGUUGUAACCAAGGGUUAUGGUAAUUGUAAAUGCUGCAUGCUAAGGAUAUUAGUUGAUUUUAUGAUAUUGCUUAAUAUAUAUUGUUUUCUAUUUUGAGUUGGCCGAUGAUACCUACUCAGUACUUGUGUUUGUACUGACCCCCUACUUUUAUGUUUUCUUCUUGUUUAUUUGUGGAGUGCAGCAAACGUACCGUCAUCUUCAACUCAACCGCAAUUCUAGCCAGUCUUCGUCACAUCGGAUCUUCAGGGUGAGCUAAUGCUUCUAGCUUGGACUGGAUCUUCUUCCUCAUGUCUUGAUGCCUUGAAGUUCCGGCAUGGACUAGCUUUUACUUGUUUUAGCUUUUAGAAUACUCUUAGUUUAGAAAUUGAUCAUAGAUGUUCUUGUGAUGAUGACUUCCAGAUUUUGGGGAAUAAUAGAUGUUGAAUUUUAGAAGUUAAUGAAUUGGUUUUAUUUAAUGAGUUUGAGUCUUCCGCAUUAUUUACUGUUGAUAUUAUAUUGAAAUGUUAGAGUUUAGAUUGGUUGGUUCGCUCACAUAGGAGGGUAAGUGUGGGUGCCAGUCACGGUCCGGAUUUGGGUCGUGACAUUGUUAAAUUGUUAAAAGGGACGAUGAAGAAAUUACCGUCGAUUUCCAAGGCCUCCCAUGUUAGUGAGACAGAUUUUUAUUUUUUAAAUUAUUAUUUCAUAUAUUCAAUUUUUUUCAUUUUUAUUUAUUACUAACACUUUUACUAAGUGUGUUUACAGGUACCCAAGACUUGUUUCAUUGAAGUUAUUCGAGAGGAGUUCAAUUUAUAUUUUACAAUUCAUUAUUUUGUAUAUAUCGAUGCUAGGCAAACUUUAGGCCGUUUCUCAUGUUGUUGUUUUAUUUUAUUAUUAUUGUUUAUUUUAUAUAAUAUUAAUGGUAUAUUAUUGUUAUCGCCUCAAUUUGAAAAAAUGAACUCAGUCGGGAACCACAGUUGUGGAUUUCGAAGGGUUUCUAAUCCCUUCCCUUCGGAAUAACUUGAACCCCUUAUCUAGAAUCAAAUUGGUUUCGUGGACUCUCUUUUAAGUUAAUUAAUUAAUCGGUUUCCUAGUUUUCCUAAAAAUUAGGUGGCGACUCCCUUCUCCCCCUUUAACUCCCAUUAAUCCUUUUAAACUCAUUUUACCACUUUUGACCCCUUUACCCUUUUUUAGAAAUUAUUUUAACUAAUUCUUUUUUUAUUGAGUCUCCACAAUGUUGCUUCCAUUAAAAGGAUGUCAACAGAAUGACGACUCCGCUGGGAAUAUUAGAGGUUCUAACCAUUCUGGGUUCAUUUUUUCAAAUUGUUGAUACUAUUCUUUAUUGUGCUAUUCAUUAUAUCUUUUAUAUUUUGUUAAUUAUUUGCAUGUCGUACUAUUUAUUUAUUCAUUAUUUAUUGUAUAUUGCCAUUGUAUUUCAUGACAUAAUUUCUGCCAAAUGGCAAAUAGAAUGCAUUAGAAUAAAGGCGGUUACGUGGCUUUCCACGACUGUCCUUUAGAAAAACACCUUCGAAAUUCAUUGGAAGUGAUAAACAAAUAGUUGGCUUGCGGUCAUCUAACGUUGUUAUUAUACUUCAUCCCCUAUUUUGUCCAACUCGGGUAAACAAGUCUCUUUUUAAGCCCACUCUUAGUCAGCUAGUGUAGAGCGAAAUCAAAAUAUCGUAUUAAGCAUGACACUCGAGACAUAUUUGUAUAACACAUGCACUCAUUGUUUGUAUAUUAUAUGAUUUAUCGUGAUAUAUGGUAGUCCAUUAUUUCAAAGUUACUCUUGCUAACAUAGUUUUAGAAUACUUAUAAUUUAAGUUCAAUCUUUUUUAAAGUUAAAUCGUUGAAACUAUGUUUGACCUGAUUCCUAAUUCAACGCGAUACGUAGGCGCCAUUAAGGCUCGGUCAUCUUCCCCGUAAGUUUUCCAAAUUUUAAGAACGGAAACUAGCGCAAAAUUUUGUGGAAGUCUCCAAAAUUUUAUAAUGGAGAUAGUUGUUACAAUAUUAAAUACCGGAGGUUUGUCGAAGCAGAAAUAGGGGCAAAAUUUUUUAGGAAUGCUCUCAAAAUUUUCACCAAGAUUGUACACAUACACCAGUAUUUAUGAGGCUUCACUCCGAGUUGGUUUGUUUAUUUUGCAUUAAUUUUUUGUACAUGAUGUCACAUUCAUUGUAUAUCUUUGAUUUUUACUAUACUCCAUUGAAAAAGUUAGUUUAAUUGACAUUUGUUAAGUUUGGGUAGUCCGUCCUUCAACGCGACUCAUUAUUUCAUUAUUUUAUUGUUGUUACUUUUGUUAAAUUUAGGUGGUCUUCCCUUCAAUGUGACUCACUGAUUCAUUCGUCCUUGUAAAAUUUUCUUUAAAUAGUAAAUAAAAAAAAUUGUUCAAUUCGGGUUGCCCGCCUUUCAAUGUGGCUCAUUGAUUUUUAUUCUCAUUAUUUUUUCCUUUCAAAAAGUAAUUUGUUGUUUAUAAAUUUUAUGUCAUAUUUGGAAGAACUACGCAAACCUGAUUCUCAUCAAUGAGAUACGUAGGCAGCCUUUAUUGGGUUCGGUAUUAUUUCUUCAAAAGAUUUUUUACUUUUUAUUCUUUGAAUAUUUAUAUUUUGCGAAAUUAUUUUUUCACUGGGUUGGUGCCAACACAGUUCAAGUGUGCAUGUGAAAAAUAAUUUGUAUAAUAAUGAAGAUUGACUUCUUGUUAAACCAUGGAUUCUUUUGGUACCUCUCAUUUAUACUUUGUUACACUUGCAAAUGUUGUCUUGUAUAAAUUCAAGAUUAGAACAAAAUCAGAUUCAUUAUUUCAUGUGCAUUGUAUGGUGAGUUUUGAAUCAAAUUCAAUUAUUUUUCAUUGUUGAUCUAGAACUUGGCCUAAAUGUUAUUGAGGCGAAAUUCUGAGUAAUGUCUGAUUUGAAAAAUGAUUGCAGGCCUUCUUUGAUCCGUUUGAGCCUUUCGAAACCUACCAAAUGAUGUUAAUCCUUAGAUGUCCCCAGUUUAAGCUUAUAGCCUUUUCUUUGGACAACCACAUCUUAACAUAUACCUUUUCUGAGUGCUUUUACGCACUAUCUCUCUUUUGAACAGACUUUCUUGAGCACACUGAAGACAUGCAAGUCAUAAGAGAAGAUACAAAGUUCAAAUUUGUCAAAGACAAAAGUUAUCAAAGUUCCUGAAUGUCCAGAAAACAAAAAUGACUUUAGAAGAAAAAAAAUGGUUCAAAAUUCCCACCAAUUUAAUAAAGCGAAAUUUCAAAAACACUCCAAACAAAAAAGGAGAAAAUUCAAAAAGAGGGAAAACUCAGACAAACAGAGUUUCAAAGAAGUCAAAAGUGCAAAAGGAAGGGACAACAAAGAGAAUCAAACGCUAAAAGCAUAAUAAAUGUUGAAAGCAUCUAUUUAGUGCAAUGCUCAAGAAGGAAUAAGUCACUUUAAUCCCAAAUGACUAUCCUAUCCGUUCCUAAGCCAACAUUACAAGCUAUUAACAAGCCCUACAUGAUUCCAAUUCAAAUGUUCCACAUUAGCGGAGACUUACAUGAAGGUCAAGCCUAUGGUAUCACAAUUGCAUGCGUUGAAAUAUUUUUCGAGUGUGAGUGUGCUUUUCCAGAUGUUUUCAAAUAAAAACACUUUAAAUGUGCGCAAAUUGAAAGUUUCUUUCUUGUGAAGGCACUUGAAACAUGAUGUUAGGUCUAGUUCUAAGCUUUUAUUUAUAGCAAGAGACAAAUCUUGUUGUUGCUUAAAUACAUUUGAGGUGCCACUUGAAUCCAUAGGAAUUACCUCGAUGUCAAUUUUAGUUGAAAGAGAAAAAUUGUGAGAAAUUUUUGUACAAUACUAUUGUUGGCGCUAACAAAGUUAAAAUAUGUUUCAUUGUUCAUAAAAUAAAAGUGGGUUGAAACCCACUUUACAAUAUUUGUCCAUACCAACUUUGUGAACCGUUUCAUUAUUGAUAUUUGUCCAAACAACUUUGUGGACCGUUUCAAAGUUUAAAUUGCAUUUUGGUAGUUAUACCCUUCAAAAUGACAUCUUUUAUUUUUCGGUAGUCAUACCCUUCAAAAUGACAUCUUUUAAAUUUGGGUUGCCAUACCUUUCAAAAUGACAUCAUUUUAUUUUUAUGCCCCAUAUUUGUCCAUACCAACUUUGUAGACCGUUUCAUUGUUGAUAUUUGUCCAUACCUUUCAAAAUGACAUCAUUUUGUUUAUUAUACUUCAUCUCGUAGUUUGUCCAACUCGGGUAAACAAGUCUCGUUUUAAGCCCACUCUUAGUCAGCUAGUGUAGAGCGAAAUCGAAACAUCAUAUUAAGCAUGACACUCGAGACAUAUUUGUAUAACACAUGCACUCAUUGUGUGCAUAUUAUAUGAUAUAUCGUGAUGUAUGAUAGUCCAUUAUUUCAAAGUUACUCUUGCUAACCUAGUUUUAGAAUACUUCUAAUUUAAAUUCAAUCUUUUUUCUAGUUAAAUCGUUGGAACUACGUUUGACCUGAUUCCUGCUUCAACGGGAUACGUAGGCGCCAUUAAGGCUCGGUCAUCUUCCCCGUAAAUUUUCCAAAUUUUAAGAACAGAAACUGGGGCAAAAUUUUGUGGAAGUCUCCAAAAUUUUAUAAUGGAGAUAGUUGUUACAAUAUUAAAUACCGGAGGUUUGUCGAAGCUGAAACAUGGGCAAAAAUUUUUAGGAAUGCCCUCACAAUUUUCACCAAGAUUGUACGCAGACUCCAGUAUU